rnacentral:rRNA from 1 species
GGCUAACUCCGUGCCAGCAGCCGCGGUAAUACGGAGGGUGCGAGCGUUAAUCGGAAUUACUGGGCGUAAAGCGCAUGCAGGCGGCCUGUUAAGUCAGAUGUGAAAGCCCGGGGCGUUAACCUCGGAAUUGCAUUUGUAAACUGGCAGGCUAGAGUCUUGUAGAGGGGGGUAGGAAUUUCUAGGUGUAGCGGUGAAAUAGCGUAGAGAUCUGAAGGAAUACCAGUGGCGAAGGCGGCCCCCUCGGACAAAGACUGACGCUCAGAUGCGAAAGCGUGGGGAGCAAACAGGAUUAGAUACCCCUGGUAG